rnacentral:rRNA from 1 species
GGAAUCUUCCACAAUGGGCGAAAGCCUGAUGGAGCAACGCCGCGUGUGUGAUGAAGGGUUUCGGCUCGUAAAACACUGUUGUAAGAGAAGAAUGACGUUGAGAGUAACUGUUCAAUGUGUGACGGUAUCUUACCAGAAAGGAACGGCUAAAUACGUGUCAG